rnacentral:rRNA from 1 species
UACGUAGGCAGCAAGCGUUGUUCGGAGUUACUGGGCGUAAAGGGCGCGUAGGCGGCCGACUAAGUCAGACGUGAAAUCCCCUGGCUCAACCAGGGAACUGCGUCUGAUACUGGAUGGCUUGAGUUCGGGAGAGGGAAGUGGAAUUCCAGGUGUAGCGGUGAAAUGCGUAGAUAUCUGGAGGAACACCGGUGGCGAAGGCGGCUUCCUGGACCGACACUGACGCUGAGGCGCGAAAGCCAGGGGAGCAAACGGG